rnacentral:misc_RNA from 1 species
GGGGGGGAGAGGAGGGAGGGGGAGGAGGAGAGGGGAAGAGAUUCCUCCUACAACAAAUUAACCCUUUUAAAUUAUGGUCAUUGAACUACAUGUUUAGUCAAAUAAAAAAAUCCAAGGGAUUUGUUGUCAAAAACAGAAGCAUCCAAAUGAACUAAUGUCUUUGACUGUACCUCCAACCUACAAUGUGAUUCUCUUCUCCGUAAAUGAAACAUAGUUAAUGAAGAACACUGGGAGAAGGAAAAUUUCUAAACA